AGGGAAUCUUCCACAAUGGACGCAAGUCUGAUGGAGCAACGCCGCGUGAGUGAAGAAGGUUUUCGGACCGUAAAGCUCUGUUGUUGGUGAAGAAGGAUAGAGGUAGUAACUGGCCUUUAUUUGACGGUAAUCAACCAGAAAGUCACGGCUAACUACGUGCCAGCAGCCGCGGUAAUACGUAGGUGGCAAGCGUUGUCCGGAUUUAUUGGGCGUAAAGCGAGCGCAGGCGGAAGAAUAAGUCUGAUGUGAAAGCCCUCGGCUUAACCGAGGAAUUGCAUCGGAAACUGUUUUUCUUGAGUGCAGAAGAGGAGAGUAGAACUCCAUGUGUAGCGGUGGAAUGCGUAGAUAUAUGGAAGAAUACCAGUGGCGAAGGCGGCUCUCUGGUCUGCAACUGACGCUGAGGCUCGAAAGCAUGGGUAGCGAACAGGAUUAGAUACCCUUGGUAGUCCAU
rnacentral:rRNA from 1 species